UGCUUAACACAUGCAAGUCGAACGAUGAACCGCUUUCGGGCGGGGAUUAGUGGCGAACGGGUGAGUAACACGUGGGCAAUCUGCCCUGCACUCUGGGACAAGCCCUGGAAACGGGGUCUAAUACCGGAUAUGACCGUCUGCCGCAUGGUGGAUGGUGUAAAGCUCCGGCGGUGCAGGAUGAGCCCGCGGCCUAUCAGCUUGUUGGUGAGGUAGUGGCUCACCAAGGCGACGACGGGUAGCCGGCCUGAGAGGGCGACCGGCCACACUGGGACUGAGACACGGCCCAGACUCCUACGGGAGGCAGCAGUGGGGAAUAUUGCACAAUGGGCGAAAGCCUGAUGCAGCGACGCCGCGUGAGGGAUGACGGCCUUCGGGUUGUAAACCUCUUUCAGCAGGGAAGAAGCGAAAGUGACGGUACCUGCAGAAGAAGCGCCGGCUAACUACGUGCCAGCAGCCGCGGUAAUACGUAGGGCGCAAGCGUUGUCCGGAAUUAUUGGGCGUAAAGAGCUCGUAGGCGGCUUGUCACGUCGGUUGUGAAAGCCCGGGGCUUAACCCCGGGUCUGCAGUCGAUACGGGCAGGCUAGAGUUCGGUAGGGGAGAUCGGAAUUCCUGGUGUAGCGGUGAAAUGCGCAGAUAUCAGGAGGAACACCGGUGGCGAAGGCGGAUC
rnacentral:rRNA from 1 species